AUAGAGCAUUAUCCCAAUAGUUGCAAUAGAGAGAGAGUUAACAAAAAAAUUCCUAAUUAGAUUUGGGGUCCAUUAGCAGCCGUUGAAGACAUGUUGCUAAUCUCCUUCUUGCUAAUCCAUCCACUUCUUAGGAAGUCUUGGAAACCUGGUUGAAGACGUUGUCAUUGCGAGAUCUCCAUAUGCUCCAACAAUAAAUCCCCAACGCAUUAGACUUCGCUCUUCCCUUAGAUUAAGAAUUAAACGUUGCUUCUUCGGCGCCCAGCACUGGAAGUACAUCAUCUUUACCAACUGCCAUAUCACGAUAUCAGGUCUCGACGGCAUUCUCCGGUAAAGCAGCUCCAUAACCGAAAGUCUUUCAUGCUGAGUAUGCUAGAGGAAAAGGAGGACUUUUGGUGGAGCUUUAAUCUUCUAGAGAUUUUGCCAAAUUCCUUGUCUUUGCUGGAGGUGUGGAUGAAGCUCAAACGGUUCAUGGUUGAAGGAAAAGGCUAUUCUGUAUCCAGAAGAGACUUCGUAUCUGCCGGAUUUGUGGAAUAACCAGAUAAGUUUAGUGAUGGCUGUUGGAAAUAUUGAAGCAAUGAGUUGUUGAUUUCAUUCAUUAUUUUCACUCAUCAGGUGAUUGACUCGUGAGACUGGUUAGUUUAUGGAAAAGGAGUUUAGUCUAAUUGGGGGAGUAAGUUGUUGCAGAGACGGAACACAUGGAUCUGAGAAAAUGUUCACCUUGGAACCAGGACCUAUUUGCCAAAUCAAGCCUUUUUUAGUGACUUUUCGCUCCUCCAGAAUGCCCCUCCAUCUCUAGGAAGAUAUUUCAGUACUCCAAUUUUUUUGUUACUACACUUGGUAGCCAUUUGAUUUUGAGUUGAAGGAAAAAAAAAGCACGGAGGUUGAUCGAAAUGGUGAGAAAGACGAUGAAGUUGAGAGAGAAGGCAAAAAGAUUUUUUUUAAGAAAAAGGAGAUGACAAUGAAGUGGCUAGGAAUGACAACUUCUCUGACAAAUUUGUGUCUUUCGGCCCGACCUCCUCACCAACACCACUUCGCCUCCACUCUACCUUAUUUUUGCCUUUCACCCGAUAAACUCUUGCUUCUCAAGGUGCUUUGUUCAGGGUCAACACUUCUCACCGAUAAUCUCCCUCAACCUCACCUCUUGUCGUGCCUCUACCUCUAUGUUGUCAUCUCUACAGAUUUAUCUGUCUUUGUGAUGUCAUUUCUAAACAUCUGUCUGUUACUGUGUAUUUACCUUUGUGCCACUAGUGACACUAUACUUGCUCUCCUUCGGUGUCACCCUUCCAUCUGCAGCCUGCUGAUUGGCCAUUUAUCUUUGCUUAACUUUAGGGUUUAGAGCUUUUAAAAUAGUUUUGUUUCGAUUUUUUUUUUAAUUGAUUUGACUAAAUUUUCUUCUUCCUAAUCAAUCUGAAAAAUUUAGAUUGUGUAUGAGCACUGAACUGUGGUUGAAGACUCUUAACUUGUAAAUUAUAAUAUGUGACAGUUGUUAAGAAUUGUUAUAUUCUUUUUUAUUUUUGUUUAAUUUUUCAUAUUUUCAAACAACCACAGAUAUUCAUAGGGAUUCAUAUAUCCAAUAGAUAAUUGG